UACGGAAGGCAGCAGUGGGGAAUAUUGCACAAUGGGCGCAAGCCUGAUGCAGCCAUGCCGCGUGUAUGAAGAAGGCCUUCGGGUUGUAAAGUACUUUCAGUCGUGAGGAAGGUGUUAAGGUUAAUAACCUUAGCAAUUGACGUUAGCGACAGAAGAAGCACCGGCUAACUCCGUGCCAGCAGCCGCGGUAAUACGGAGGGUGCGAGCGUUAAUCGGAAUUACUGGGCGUAAAGGGCACGCAGGCGGUUAAUUAAGUUGGAUGUGAAAUCCCCGGGCUUAACCUGGGAAUGGCAUUCAAGACUGGUUAGCUAGAGUCUUGUAGAGGGGGUAGAAUUCCAUGUGUAGCGGUGAAAUGCGUAGAGAUGUGGAGGAAUACCGGUGGCGAAGGCGGCCCCUGGACAAAGACUGACGCUCAUGUGCGAAAGCGUGGGGAGCGAAACAGGGAUUAGAUCC
rnacentral:rRNA from 1 species